CUAUCACACUGAAUACAACCACAUUGUGCUGCUCGAAAUGGGAAACCUGAUUCAGAUCACAGAGGAAGGCAGAAAAACACUUGGGAUGCCCGCCUGAUUGACAACGGCUCCAGCCACUUGCCGACCGCACCCGGCAGAAAGGUGGAAUUUCCCAGCGAACUGAUUGGCCGGCGGAGAAGGCGGGCCCUGGUGAUUGGCUUGAGAUUCCCAGUAGUAAGUAGUAAACAACCUGGGUCCAGAGGCAGCGGGGAGGGCGCGGGAUGCC
rnacentral:lncRNA from 1 species